rnacentral:lncRNA from 1 species
CCCAGUUCUCUCCAGGAGUAUGAAAUUUCCCUCUUGUUUCUGCCCACCUGAGGGGCUGCACUUGGACCCUGCCAUGGGAAGAGGUCUGUUCCUCUCUGCCUCCUGGGGGACCCCCUCCUUGUGUGAGUCCCCUCUGAAGCCCUGCAGAACCUGGUCUGGUUCCUGAACAGUCCUGCCGAGGCCUGGCCUGUUGGACACAGAUGCUCAAAAUCUACUCAGAGCAUGCUGGCCCCUGUGGAGUGGUUCCUGUUCCUGGGGUGCUGAAGUGAAUGAGGGUGUUUCUCUGAUCCAUAAGAGCCUCCUGCCUGUUCAUCCAUCAACAGCCUCUGGGGACACCUUCGGCAGCAGGAAUCACUCGUGUUGGGUUGGAUCUAUGAACACGAGACACAGAAACACCAGCUGGAGGAGCCCAGGAGGCCCAGCAGGUGAGGUUAUCCACAGAACAGGCACGCCGCCCUAGUCCAUGGAUCACUGAGUGCCCGGACCAGGGCUUCAGGGGGUUCCAGCCGAGGCUUUGUGAACCGGAUCCUGGGUCACUGAGUAACCAGAGUGGUCUCAGGAGGUUCCAGCCGAGGCUUUGUGAACC